rnacentral:piRNA from 1 species
GGCUUUAGGCUGGCUUAUGCCUCGUAUC